CCUACGGGAGGCAGCAGUAGGGAAUCUUCCACAAUGGGCGAAAGCCUGAUGGAGCGACGCCGCGUGCAUGAUGAAGGUCUUCGGAUCGUAAAACCCUGUUGUUAGAGAAGAAAAUGCGUGAGAGUAACUGUUCACGUUUCGACGGUAUCUAACCAGAAAGCCACGGCUAACUACGUGCCAGCAGCCGCGGUAAUACGUAGGUGGCAAGCGUUAUCCGGAUUUAUUGGGCGUAAAGGGAACGCAGGCGGUCUUUUAAGUCUGAUGUGAAAGCCUUGGGCUUAACCGGAGUAGUGCAUUGGAAACUGGGAGACUGGAGUGCAGAAGAGGAGAGUGGAACUCCAUGUGUAGCGGUGAAAUGCGUAGAUAUAUGGAAGAACACCAGUGGCGAAAGCGGCUCUCUGGUCUGUAACUGACGCUGAGGUUCGAAAGCGUGGGUAGCAAACAGGAUUAGAUACCCUUGUAGUC
rnacentral:rRNA from 1 species